rnacentral:lncRNA from 1 species
AAGAUAUACAUGGCCAGUUUAAAAUGGGCUUUGGUGGCACAUUAGAGAUAAAGACCUCAAGGGAAAUAAAGAUUUCAGGAGCUAUCGGUCCCUGUGUGUCUCUUAAUUCUAAAGGACCUUGCGUGUCUGAAAAUGAGAUUGGAACAGGUGGCACUUGUCAGUGGAAGAUAUGUGGACUUAGUCCCACUACAACCUUAGCCAUAUAUUUUGAAGUUGUUAAUCAGCAUAAUGCUCCAAUUCCCCAAGGAGGGCGAGGUGCAGUCCAGUUCGUGACCCAGUAUCAGCACUCAAGUGGGCAGAGACGCAUCCGAGUGACCACGAUUGCUAGGAACUUGUCUGUUACAGAACUCACAGUGGGUGGGGAGAGCUGUAGAAGACCUCAUUCCGAGUACUGGACUAGCAAUGAAUAGCAGCCUCCACUCACUUCCGAUGUAUUAGAAAGCCCUUCCUUAAAAUGAAUGUGUCAGAAAUUUGGAGAGUAUCACAAAGAUGAUCCAAAUUCCUUCCGGUUUUCAGAAACAUUUUCCCUUUAUCCACAGUUUAUGUUUCAUUUAAGAAGAUCUCCCUUCUUGCAAGUUUUUAACAACAGUCCUGAUGAGAGUUCAUACUAUCGCCACCAUUUCAUGCGCCAGGAUCUGACACAGUCUCUAAUCAUGAUCCAGCCCAUUCUGUAUGCCUAUUCCUUCAGUGGCCCACCAGA